AGUGAACGCUGGCGGUAGGCCUAACACAUGCAAGUCGAACGGCAGCACAGUAAGAGCUUGCUCUUACGGGUGGCGAGUGGCGGACGGGUGAGGAAUACAUCGGAAUCUACUUUUUCGUGGGGGAUAACGUAGGGAAACUUACGCUAAUACCGCAUACGACCUACGGGUGAAAGCAGGGGAUCUUCGGACCUUGCGCGAUUGAAUGAGCCGAUGUCGGAUUAGCUAGUUGGCGGGGUAAAGGCCCACCAAGGCGACGAUCCGUAGCUGGUCUGAGAGGAUGAUCAGCCACACUGGAACUGAGACACGGUCCAGACUCCUACGGGAGGCAGCAGUGAGGAAUAUUGGACAAUGGGCGCAAGCCUGAUCCAGCCAUACCGCGUGGGUGAAGAAGGCCUUCGGGUUGUAAAGCCCUUUUGUUGGGAAAGAAAAGCAGCAGGUUAAUACCCCGCUGUCCUGACGGUACCCAAAGAAUAAGCACCGGCUAACUUCGUG
rnacentral:rRNA from 1 species